rnacentral:rRNA from 1 species
UACGUAGGGUCCGAGCGUUAAUCGGAAUUACUGGGCGUAAAGCGUGCGCAGGCGGUUUUGUAAGCCAGAUGUGAAAUCCCCGAGCUUAACUUGGGAACUGCAUUUGGGACUGCAAGGCUGGAGUUCGGCAGAGGACCAUGGAAUUUCGGGUGUAGCGGUGGAAUGCGUAGAUAUCCGAAAGAACACCGGUGGCGAAGGCGGUGGUCUGGGCCUGAACUGACGCUGAGGAGCGAAAGCCAGGGGAGCAAACGGG